rnacentral:ncRNA from 2 species
AAUCCGUUAAGAUAACGAGGCAAACGGAAUCACAGCAGCGUAGGGAAACUCCGGUGAGACUCCGGGGCUGUGCGGCAGCUGUAAGGAAUGGCUCUGCCGUUCCAAGCCAGAAUGCCUGCCUGCUGUCGGCCAUUCAA